rnacentral:lncRNA from 1 species
UUAAUUAAUAUUUUUUUUUAUUAUUAUUAUUAUUAUUAUUUAUUUUAAAAAAAUAGAUAAUUAUCAUAACUUAACUACCCGAUCCUAUCUGUAUCCCAACUUUCCUCAACCUCUCCCUCAUCAGCAUAUAACCCUCAUCAGCAUAUAACUUCCUGACCACCAAAAUACAUACUUGGACAUUGAACCAGAAAAACAACACACAAAGAAAAAAUACGAAAACUAGAGAGAAAAGGAGUGGAAAGAAAGAAAAACUUGAGAGAAAACUUAGAAACAGAAGGGAAAGAAGGAGAAAGACAACCAAAGAAAAACUAAGUGGUAACAGGAACAAAACAUACUGGAGAUUGGAAAACAAACAAAAAAGAAAAAGAACGAAUGAGAGUUAGAAAUCAAAAACAAAAAAAGCGGUAGAGAAACAAAUGUAAAAAAAAAAAAAAUGAGACUUCUUUGAUUUUGGAGAUUAAGUUCGAUUUUUAUCGAGUUUUCGAUGACGUCAUUCAUGCUUCUCCUUUAACUAGUCCAUUAUAUAGAUUUUAAUUUAAUUCUAUGAUAUUUAUAUUUAUCAGUUUCAUUGUGAAUUGAAGUAUGGUUGCAAUCGUUCAAUCGUUUCAUACAUUAUUUGGUAUGCAAAAUUAUAUGAAUUUGUGAUAUUUAUAUUUAUCAGUUUCAUUGUGAAUUGAAGUAUGGUUGCAAUCGUUCAAUCGUUUCAUACAUUAUUUAGUAUGCAAAAUUAUAUGAAUUUGUUAUCAUGAAUUCUAUAUUUAGUUAUUCGAAUAUUUUAUGUGACCGUUAUAAAUAUAGUUUCAUAAUGUGGUUUGGUCGAUUUUUCUUAAGUGUUGAUGUUCUUCAUUUGAUUAUUAAAUUUUAGAGUAGUUUACCAUAUAUCAUCUUAAAUUGUUUGUUCUCUGUUAUGCAACCAAGAAUUCUUUUGUUAUGUAAAAAUGGGGUGCUUAAAUUGGAACUAUCUACCAGUCUCUAAGGUAAUAUUUGGAAGAAUUGGG